UACAAAUGAUUUGGAAUAUGUCACUUUACAUGUAGUGUAAUGUAUAAUUUCUGUUAAAUUAUGAUAUUCUCAUGAUCUUCAGAUUUUCUGAGAUGCAUUAGUAAUUGGUUUGUGCCAAAACCAAUGCAAUAAUAAUUGCAAAAAUGUUUUAUAUAAAUAUAAAUGAAGUAAAUACUGAAUCCAAACAAAACCAAGUUUAACACAGUCAUAUUUCUUGUCUUCAUUUUCUUAAACAGGAUAUUUUCUCGCAGAAAAAGAAAGGAUAAUAAAAGGUUUCCUUUCUCCAAACUUUUAAAGAACAAAUAAAGAAAUCCAAUUUCA